GGCUCAGAUUGAACGCUGGCGGCAUGCCUUACACAUGCAAGUCGAACGGCAGCGCGGGAGCAAUCCUGGCGGCGAGUGGCGAACGGGUGAGUAAUACAUCGGAACGUGCCCAAUCGUGGGGGAUAACGCAGCGAAAGCUGUGCUAAUACCGCAUACGAUCUACGGAUGAAAGCAGGGGAUCGCAAGACCUUGCGCGAAUGGAGCGGCCGAUGGCAGAUUAGGUAGUUGGUGAGGUAAAGGCUCACCAAGCCUUCGAUCUGUAGCUGGUCUGAGAGGACGACCAGCCACACUGGGACUGAGACACGGCCCAGACUCCUACGGGAGGCAGCAGUGGGGAAUUUUGGACAAUGGGCGCAAGCCUGAUCCAGCCAUGCCGCGUGCAGGAUGAAGGCCUUCGGGUUGUAAACUGCUUUUGUACGGAACGAAACGGUCUUUUCUAAUAAAGAAGGCUAAUGACGGUACCGUAAGAAUAAGCACCGGCUAACUACGUGCCAGCAGCCGCGGUAAUACGUAGGGUGCAAGCGUUAAUCGGAAUUACUGGGCGUAAAGCGUGCGCAGGCGGCAAUGUAAGACAGUUGU
rnacentral:rRNA from 1 species